rnacentral:rRNA from 1 species
GAGUUUGAUCCUGGCUCAGGACGAACGCUGGCGGCGCGCCUAACACAUGCAAGUCGAACGGAGCUUAGAGAGCUUGCUUUUUAAGCUUAGUGGCGAACGGGUGAGUAACGCGUGAGUAACCUGCCCUAGAGUGGGGGACAACAGUUGGAAACGACUGCUAAUACCGCAUAAGCCCACGGCUCGGCAUCGAGCAGAGGGAAAAGGAGCAAUCCGCUUUGAGAUGGCCUCGCGUCCGAUUAGCUAGUUGGUGAGGUAAUGGCCCACCAAGGCGACGAUUGGUAGCCGGACUGAGAGGUUGAACGGCCACAUUGGAACUGAGACACGGUCCAGACACCUACGGGUGGCAGCAGUCGAGAAUCAUUCACAAUGGGGGAAACCCUGAUGGUGCGACGCCGCGUGGGGGAAUGAAGGUCUUCGGAUUGUAAACCCCUGUCAUGUGGGAGCAAAUUAAAAAGAUAGUACCACAAGAGGAAGAGACGGCUAACUCUGUGCCAGCAGCCGCGGUAAUUC